GAUGAACGCUGGCGGCGUGCCUAAUACAUGCAAGUCGAGCGAACAGACGAGGAGCUUGCUCCUCUGACGUUAGCGGCGGACGGGUGAGUAACACGUGGAUAACCUACCUAUAAGACUGGGAUAACUUCGGGAAACCGGAGCUAAUACCGGAUAUCAUGUUGAACCGCAUGGUUCAACAGUGAAAGACGGUCUUGCUGUCACUUAUAGAUGGAUCCGCGCCGCAUUAGCUAGUUGGUAAGGUAACGGCUUACCAAGGCAACGAUGCGUAGCCGACCUGAGAGGGUGAUCGGCCACACUGGAACUGAGACACGGUCCAGACUCCUACGGGAGGCAGCAGUAGGGAAUCUUCCGCAAUGGGCGAAAGCCUGACGGAGCAACGCCGCGUGAGUGAAGAAGGUCUUCGGAUCGUAAAACUCUGUUAUUAGGGAAGAACAAAUGUGUAAGUAACUAUGCACGUCUUGACGGUACCUAAUCAGAAGGCCACGGCUAACUACGUG
rnacentral:rRNA from 1 species